rnacentral:rRNA from 1 species
UUCCGUAUGUGAACCUGCGGAAGGAUCAUUAACACGAUUCAAUUCAUAACCUAGAACAUACUGUGAGCGUUGAUGGGAGCAAUCUCUGAUACUGCUCGGGGGCAGAGGUAGUCUAUGUGAUGUAGACGGAGCCUCUGUCACUGCUAACCCGCAACUCCGUAGCUUUUAUAAAAAGUUGUAAAAUCUCUUUACAACUCUUAGCGAUGGAUCCCUCGGCUCGGGUAACGAUGAAGGACGCAGCAAAAUGCGAUAAGCGCUGUGAAUGGCAGAAUUCCGCGAAUCAAGAGAAUGCUGAACGCAUACUGCGCUUCUAGGUUAUUCCUGGAAGCACGUUUGUUUCAGGGCAUUUAUACUAUUAUGCAAUCAUUGCGUCGCACUUGCUUGCAAGAGCUCAAUGACUGCGUUUUUGUGUAUCAGCGACGAGAAAUCCGUUGAUACAUUAAAUAUAACAAGCCUACGUGCUGAGUGUAUCGCCGCUUGGUGAACUUUCGAGUAAACUAGUGUGUGAUUCCUCUGUAUGUUACUUGCUUGCAAUUUUAUUAAGCUUUUGGCUUUCUGUUCAUGCAUGAAAUCAAACGAGGCUACCCGCUGAAUUUAAGCAUAUC